rnacentral:rRNA from 1 species
CGGGACACGUGGUAUCCUGUCUGAAUAUGGGGGGACCAUCCUCCAAGGCUAAAUACUCCUGACUGACCGAUAGUGAACCAGUACCGUGAGGGAAAGGCGAAAAGAACCCCGGCGAGGGGAGUGAAAAAGAACCUGAAACCGUGUACGUACAAGCAGUGGGAGCACGCUUAGGCGUGUGACUGCGUACCUUUUGUAUAAUGGGUCAGCGACUUAUAUUCUGUAGCAAGGUUAACCGAAUAGGGGAGCCGAAGGGAAACCGAGUCUUAACUGGGCGUUAAGUUGCAGGGUAUAGACCCGAAACCCGGUGAUCUAGCCAUGGGCAGGUUGAAGGUUGGGUAACACUAACUGGAGGACCGAACCGACUAAUGUUGAAAAAUUAGCGGAUGACUUGUGGCUGGGGGUGAAAGGCCAAUCAAACCGGGAGAUAGCUGGUUCUCCCCGAAAGCUAUUUAGGUAGCGCCUCGUGAAUUCAUCUCCGGGGGUAGAGCACUGUUUCGGCAAGGGGGUCAUCCCGACUUACCAACCCGAUGCAAACUGCGAAUACCGGAGAAUGUUAUCACGGGAGACACACGGCGGGUGCUAACGUCCGUCGUGAAGAGGGAAACAACCCAGACCGCCAGCUAAGGUCCCAAAGUCAUGGUUAAGUGGGAAACGAUGUGGGAAGGCCCAGACAGCCAGGAUGUUGGCUUAGAAGCAGCCAUCAUUUAAAGAAAGCGUAAUAGCUCACUGGUCGAGUCGGCCUGCGCGGAAGAUGUAACGGGGCUAAACCAUGCACCGAAGCUGCGGCAGCGACGCUGAUGCGUUGUUGGGUAGGGGAGCGUUCUGUAAGCCUGUGAAGGUGUGCUGUGAGGCAUGCUGGAGGUAUCAGAAGUGCGAAUGCUGACAUAAGUAACGAUAAAGCGGGUGAAAAGCCCGCUCGCCGGAAGACCAAGGGUUCCUGUCCAACGUUAAUCGGGGCAGGGUGAGUCGACCCCUAAGGCGAGGCCGAAAGGCGUAGUCGAUGGGAAACAGGUUAAUAUUCCUGUACUUGGUGUUACUGCGAAGGGGGGACGGAGAAGGCUAUGUUGGCCGGGCGACGGUUGUCCCGGUUUAAGCGUGUAGGCUGGUUUUCCAGGCAAAUCCGGAAAAUCAAGGCUGAGGCGUGAUGACGAGGCACUACGGUGCUGAAGCAACAAAUGCCCUGCUUCCAGGAAAAGCCUCUAAGCAUCAGGUAACAUCAAAUCGUACCCCAAACCGACACAGGUGGUCAGGUAGAGAAUACCAAGGCGCUUGAGAGAACUCGGGUGAAGGAACUAGGCAAAAUGGUGCCGUAACUUCGGGAGAAGGCACGCUGAUAUGUAGGUGAAGCGACUUGCUCGUGGAGCUGAAAUCAGUCGAAGAUACCAGCUGGCUGCAACUGUUUAUUAAAAACACAGCACUGUGCAAACACGAAAGUGGACGUAUACGGUGUGACGCCUGCCCGGUGCCGGAAGGUUAAUUGAUGGGGUCAGCGCAAGCGAAGCUCUUGAUCGAAGCCCCGGUAAACGGCGGCCGUAACUAUAACGGUCCUAAGGUAGCGAAAUUCCUUGUCGGGUAAGUUCCGACCUGCACGAAUGGCGUAAUGAUGGCCAGGCUGUCUCCACCCGAGACUCAGUGAAAUUGAACUCGCUGUGAAGAUGCAGUGUACCCGCGGCAAGACGGAAAGACCCCGUGAACCUUUACUAUAGCUUGACACUGAACAUUGAGCCUUGAUGUGUAGGAUAGGUGGGAGGCUUUGAAGUGUGGACGCCAGUCUGCAUGGAGCCGGCCUUGAAAUACCACCCUUUAAUGUUUGAUGUUCUAACGUUGACCCGUGAUCCGGGUUGCGGACAGUGUCUGGUGGGU